rnacentral:rRNA from 1 species
AACGAACGCUGGCGGCGUGUUUAAGACAUGCAAGUCGCACGGGGUAUUUUGGUAUUUAUAUUGGAAUAUUCUAGUGGCGCACGGGUGAGUAACAUGUGAAUUACAUGCCCUUCAGUGGGGAAUAGCCCAGGGAAACUUGGAUUAAUACCCCAUGGUAUCGCAAGAUUAAAGGUGGCCGCAAGGCUGCCGCUGAAGGAUUGGUUCGCACCCUAUCAGCUUGUUGGCGGGGUAAUGGCCCACCAAGGCUACGACGGGUACCUGGUCUGAGAGGACGAUCAGGCACACUGGAACUGAGACACGGUCCAGACACCUACGGGUGGCAGCAGUCGAGAAUAAUUCACAAUGGGGGCAACCCUGAUGGUGCAACGCCGCGUGGAGGAUGACGGUCUUCGGAUUGUAAACUCCUGUCAUCUGGGAGUAAGCCUUGUUCGUUAAUAGCGUGCAAGGUUGAUAGUAGCCGAAGAGGAAGGGACGGCUAACUUCGUGCCAGCAGCCGCGGUAAUACGAAGGUCCCAAGCGUUGUUCGGAAUUACUGGGCGUAAAGCGUGCGUAGGCGGCGGGGUAAGUCAGAUGUGAAAUCCCGGGGCUCAACCCCGGAACUGCAUCCGAUACUGCCUUGCUAGAGUAAUGGAGGGGCAUCUGGAAUUCACGGUGUAGCAGUGAAAUGCGUAGAUAUCGUGAGGAACACUAGUGGCGAAGGCGAGAUGCUGGACAUUUACUGACGCUGAGGUACGAAGGCUAGGGUAGCGAACGGGAUUAGAUACCCCGGUAGUCCUAGCAGUAAACGGUGCUCGCUUGGUGUGGGAGGAUUCGACCCCUUCCGUGCCGGAGCUAACGCGUUAAGCGAGCCGCCUGGGGAGUACGGCCGCAAGAAUGAAACUCAAAGGAAUUGACGGGGGUCCGCACAAGCGGAGGAGCAUGUGGCUUAAUUCGAUGCAACGCGAAGAACCUUACCAAGGCUUGACAUGUAUUGCUAAGCACGUGAAAGCGUGUGACCCUUCGGGGACCUUACACAGGUGCUGCAUGGCCGUCGUCAGCUCGUGUCGUGAGAUGUUUGGUUAAGUCCAGCAACGAGCGCAACCCCUGUGAAUAGUUGCCAGCACGUAAUGGUGGGGACUCUAUUCAGACUGCCCAGGUCAACUGGGAGGAAGGUGGGGAUGACGUCAGGUCAGUAUGGCCCUUACGCCUUGGGCUGCACACGUACUACAAUGCCCAGUACAAUGAGAACCGAUACCGCGAGGUGGAGGAAAUCUGCAAAACUGGGCCCAGUUCGGAUUGGAGGCUGCAACUCGCCUCCAUGAAGUUGGAAUCGCUAGUAAUGGCACAUCAGCUACGGUGCCGUGAAUACGUUCCCGGGUCUUGUACACACCGCCCGUCACAUCAUGGAAGCCGGUCGCACCCGAAGUGCCUGCGUUAACCCGCAGGGAGGCAGGGUCCUAAGGUGUAACUGGUAACUGGGAUGAAGUCGUAACAAGGUAGCCGUAGGGGAACCUGCGGCUGGAUCACCUCCUUU